GUUUGUAUGUGUGUGUGUGUGUGUGCAUUCUACUGUACUCUCAACACCCAUCACUGGCCUGCAGGGUGCUGGUGGUAGACUGGGAUGUGCACCACGGCAGCGGCAUCCAGCACGUGUUUGUGGCCGAACCGAGGGUGCUGUACGUGUCCCUCCACCGCCACCACCAUGGCCUCUUCUUCCCAUCCUCUGAGGACCCAAACUACGACGAGUGGGGACGGGACCUGGCCAAGGCUACAACAUUAACAUUACCUGGAACAAGAGUGGCAUGGGUGACGCAGAGGCUCUCACUCAGGUGGUGCUGCCCGUGGCCUACCAGUUCAACCCACAGCUGGUCCUGGUCACUGCCAGCCUUGAUGCUGGUGCAGGGACCCACUUGGAGGUUGCCGCGUGAGUCCCGAUUGCUUUGGACAUAUGAAGGCCCUUCUGUCUGGCCUGGCCGAGGGCCGCAUGGUUCUGGCACUGGAGGGCGGCUUCAACCUCACCACCAUCAGCUACUGCAUGACGCUGUGUGCCAAGGCCUUGCUGAGGGAUCCGCUGCCCCCCCUUGAGCCCCAGCUGGUGCCCAACAAGAGUGCCGUGCAGACCAUCAAUGACGUCAUCCGUACCCACAGCCGCUACUGGCCGGCGCUCUGCUUCAAGAAAGAAGCAGCAGAAGAAGAAAAGAAGAGAAGGAAGAGAAGGAGAGGGUAUAUGGACAGAAUUUAAACUGAUUUCUUUCAACAUAUAUUUUAUUAUUAUUAUUGAAAGACAAACUUCUCUUCUUCACUUCCUCCUUCUUCUUCUUCUCUUUCUUCUUCAUCUUUUGUUGGGGUUCUGAUAGGAAGAGAAAUAAUAAAAAUAAUGAGAAAGAAUUAGCUCUAUAGAGAGAAAGAGGGGGGGGGGGGACCCAUAUAUGUGUCUGUGGGGGUCAUCCUGUGGAUCCUGAGAGAGAGAGAGAGAGAGAGAGAGAGAGAGAGAGAGAGAGAGAGAGAGAGAGAGAGAGAGAGAGAGAGAGAGCACAGCCUUCUGUCUCUUUCUCUUCCUUCUCCUUAUUCUUUCUCUCUUUUCUACUACUACUACUACUACUACUACUACUACUACAUUUCCUCAGUAGUUAGUUAGUCAGUCAAUCAGUGUGUGUGUAUCUCAAUCUCAGAAGUGCCUCCAUCUGUCCCUGCUCUGGCACUCUUGCUCUUCAAUUCCUCUUCUUCUAUCUCCUCCUCCUCCUCCUCCUCUUCUCACUUUCCCUGACAGUCCCUCCCUCAAGCCUUCCCUCAUACACUCUCUUCACAAACCCAUUCUCAUCACGUGUCCAAACCAUCUGGGCGCAGCACACUCCACUUCUUUCGCUGCCACACCCACACCAAACCACUCAUACACACUUCAUUCUGCCUCGUCCUGACACACCACACACACCUCUUGUAUAACACCUUUCCACUGCACGUAUUCCCCCUUGCUCUGCUGCGUGUCAUGUACAGUACUUGGCUAAAGCUGUUUCUUGAUCCCCUCUUGGUCUCCGUGCUCACACUUCUUCCCUUCCUAACUCUGCCCUUCGCUGCUCUCUUCCUGACCUCACCUCCCUGUGGAUCUGGCCGCCCUAAACUCAUCUAUAUUCCUGCACUAUUCACUUCUGCUCUCCCUCCCACGUUCCCAUUCAUUACAGUUUAUUUAUCUCCUCAUUCCCUCUCACUAGCACUCCAUUUCUUGUUACAAUUGUCACUUUUCUCCCCUAUUUCUCUCCCAUUUAUCCUGGUGUGUGUGUGUGUGUGUGUGUGUGUGUGUGUGUGUGUGUGUGUGUGUGUGUGUGUGUGUGUGU